CACCCAAUUUAAGUGGGGAAAAGCAAGUAGACGUUCAAGUCAAACUGCCAGACUGAGAACCCUGAGUUAGUUUGGACCAUGAUCUUAAGUGUUAGUCAGUAAAGCAAAAGAACUGAGUUUGAUUCUCCUUAAGUUCUUGUGCCCCAAAUAAGGAGAAUAUUCUUUCUCUUCAUUAGCCUUGACUUUAUUUUAUGCUUCUCACUCUUAGUAUGAAUCUUCCUGCAGAGACUAUUUAGACUACCAUUCUAUUUACAUCUAAGUCUUAUCCAGUGCAUCUUUUGGAUUCUUGUUCUAAGUUUCUUCUUGUUCCAGGCUUGUUCCUGUUUCACAAAGCUGUGCUUUACUUUUAUCUCACAGCUCUUGUUCCCUGAACUUUACAUAGCUGUCUGUGCUCUCCUCCAUCCCUUGUCUCCAUGUCUUUGUCUCAUGUAAACAAUAUACUUGUAUCCCCAUCUUCUUAGUCUCUCAUGUGCUUGCCAAAAGCAUGCAGCUAAGACUUACAGCUCAGGUUUUCACCUUUCCCCCUUACAGAUGGUAGAAGGUAGACAAUAUAUGUUUAAAAAAAAUACUAAUUUGCAGAAACAACCAGACAUAUGCUAAGUAUCACUAACCAGCCCGUUCUCUCUUUAUUACAGUUUCUCUCUCCUUUGUUUAGGUUAUCUGUUUAGCUCUUCAGGCUAAGAACCUGUUCUGCCAAGAUUGUUCAGCAAACUCGAGGUUACUAUAGCAAUUAAUAAUCAUUUGUGUUUUAGGUUACAGAAACAAACUAGAAGAGUGGAGGCGCCAGGAAGAGGUGCCAGCAAAGAAGUCACAAUUUGAGAAAAGCCACAAGAACAUAUUUGGCAGCAGGGGGAUUAUCACAGAAAGUUUCUGUAAUUCCAGAAGAGACAGCUAGAGCAACAUGACAAAGCAGAUGCGGAAAAAUGCACACAAAGAAGGAGCAAUGUGGUUAGAGGAGGAAAGCCAGUAGCUGGUGGUAAUAGCAGAACACUUGGAGUACAAAAGAAGAUACCAGGAAGAGAAGGCAAGAUAUGAGGCUAAGGAACAGAUGAAAAAAGAAGGCACUAGGUAAGCACAGCUUUUAAUCAGGUGUGUAACUAUCAUACAGAAAGUGAUGUUACUUUUUUUUUCCUUAGUAAUAAUAGUAUAUCUAUAUACUUAGUGCCAACCUAUACAAUAAUAGUUACUUAGUCAGGACUCCAAACAGCAUAGUUCACAUUGAAGAGCAGCAUCAGUACCUCAGGAGUAAAACUUAGGCUACCUUCAAUGUAAGCUCCAAGAUGUAAUGUAGUUCUUUUGCUAUUUAACCAGUUUGUCCAAUAUUUCCCUAAAUUCCACCAGCAAUUUACAUAUCUUAUGUAGUUUAAAGAUACAAAUAACAUCCAUUUACGCUAUAGAAAGCGCAACUAGAUUUUCCUACACUUGAAAUUAUGAUUACCUUUAUGUAGUCCAUCAGAGCAGACUCCAACAUAGCAUGCUUCCAGAACUCAUUCCUAUCAGAACCUCAGAACACAGAAACUGGGAAUUUACACAUUGCAUACCAAAGCGCUGCAAACAGUACAGACUCCUUGUGUUGAAGCCUAGAUCAACUUCUCAGUCACAAAGCACUACAAGGGAUGAGAGGAUUCAUGAUAACUACAGGUGAGCAGAAGUAACUAUAUUCUGUCUGCUCUAUUCAUACUGUCAUAACAGUACAACAUAUUGGCCCACAAGGUACAAGCAUAACCCAAUUUCUUUUUUGCCCAACCUGUUUCAAAGCUUGCUCAAAGCCAGCUCCUAGGGCCAAGUGCAUGCUCCUGUCCAGACUCAGUGCCUCAAAAGGCAGUGCUACAUAUUGGCAAAGUCAAAGAAACUGCCAGUGAACCAGCCAUGAGCCUAUUGAAUGUGCAGGUUUUGAGUCAAAACACCAGUUUUCUAAUCCAAGGAGUAAGUCUGACCUGUCUUCAACUCAUUUUAUUAACAGUGUUUGCAGGCAAAGAGCAGACCUGGAGCAAUGUCUGCAGUUCCCACAAGCACUGUUAAUAGAAGCUACCAGAACACACUCAAGAUGGUUCUCAUCCAUGGGUUUUAUUUUCAGCUGCUUGAAAAAGCCAGGCCUGAAAACGAUACAGAAGAAUAAAUAAAUGCUUGGUGCCAGGUAUUGGUCAUUGCAGUGAGCCCUUCCAGUUCAAGCCUAAUUCAAGGUUCCAACCUGAUUCAAAAAGAAGACCAGUGUUCCUUUACCAGACAGGUGUUAUUCUCAUUCCCCAAGCUGUUUUCCCAAGCUGCAACUACAGUCUGUAUAGACAAGAAAUUAGACAAGUAAAAGCAUUUGUUUUUAGCAGCAAGCAGAAAUGAACCCAGACAGACCAUGAUAACCUUUACAACCUCUUGAGGUGUCAGAAUACAUUUCAUUUAACCUUCACUGCUCCAUUGUAGAUUCUUCAGUUCACUUCAGUUUUAAGAGGAAAAAAUAGAACUAUCAGUUUACAAAAGGUAUGAAGAUCUUAGUGCUAACUUUGGGAAGAAACACCCAAACCAAUCAAUUUGUUACUGUAUUGGAAAAGUUUUCAAUAUCAACAAUAAGACAAGCUAUAGCAAACUAAGAACUUCAUUGCAAGUUCAUCUUAUUUUCUGCUUCACUAAUAUUAUCUAACAAAAAGUGACAUUUGUAGACGCAAAUUGUAUUGCCAUUCCUGUAGAAAGUCUCCCAUGGAGAACAGUAAUCAAUUUCUGCAAUCUGUUUAAGCUGAAGUUGAACUUCACUUGAAUUAAAUACACAUUAAGUAUUGGUUCUAAAAGCAAAACAAAGCCAGUUUACUUCCAACUUGCACUGUUUCUACAGUUCUCUGUAUGGUGUCUCAGAAGCUGAUCUUCUCAUUUGAGAAAAUUUAUUUGUACAAUAAUUCAACAGUACAUACAGAAGAUGCCCAGCUCAGCACAGAUACAUAAGUAUUGUACUCUUAAAAAUGAUUUUAACUCCAAGUAGGAAAAACAAAAAAACACAAAACUGUAGUAUACAGUUCUAGUGCUUCUAAACACAUGGUUAUUCAAAAUUUGUGACAGACUUCAAGUGCUAGCAUCAUCUGACAUAACUGAAGUCUAUUAUCUGCAAGCAUUUACAAAUUUAACUUCAAAAUGUCAUUUUGCUGAAUUUACAAUCAAGAAUUGAGAUAUAUUUAUAUUUAAGAGGAUAAACACUUCCAACAUAGCAGCUUUAAGAACAUCUUCAUGGAACCUGAUCUUUCACAGCACUUAUAAAUACAGCUUCUAUACAGCAUGAAAGUGAACAUUAAGUAUAUUAACUUCACAAUUAGAAAUAUUUAAAGCAAACAUUAGCUUCUAUAUUCUAGUGCAUAACAGACUCAGUGAAUAUUGUUUAAUUCUCCGACUUGUUUCUAAAAGUAAAAAACAAAGCAAUGCUAAGCAGAACCAGUUAUCAGCAGCUGAACUCAGUUCUUCUAAUAUAUAGGUAAGCACAUAGAUGAAGAUCAAAGAAAAUUUCAGGAGGAAGAGUCUUUUCUCUAUUUUUCUCCAGCAUAUGAAGGCCAGUCUAACUUCCAGUCGUGAGCUUCAAAUCCAUGAAUGGUUUAGAAAUAAUCUGGACUAUCUUUCCAAAAAGAAAUUCUUUGAAAAGUAUUACAUCUUCCAAAGAAGUAAAAAAAAAAAAGGUCUGUACACUCAACUUCAAAAUUCAGGUUUAUUUCAAUGUACAACUUCCAAACAAUGAAGUUCCUUAAAAAAGGUACCAAUGCAUGAGUAGUUUGUGUAUCUUCUCAUUUUAUAUGGAGCUCUCAAUAUUAAUCUGAGUCAGAGUACAGUAUUCCUGUUAUUUCUGUCCCAUCAACAGUUCUAACUGUACAGAUGCUGCUUUAGACCAGCAGCUCCAUUCAGGUAAUAGGUCUUCAAGGCUUGAUAACUGGUCAGAAAGAGGUUAAAUCAGUUUACCACUGGUACCAUAUCCACUCUGUAUGGAAACGUGUUUCAGGACAAGGUUACACAACAGAAAAACUGAGCCUUGAGCUUCAUCCCACUGAAGCUGAAAUAGCAUUCUGCAGGAAACCCUCCUCCAUAUAGUCUUAAGAAAGUGACAAACAGUGCUUCAAAAACUAGAAAGUUAAUAUGGAAGAGCAUAAAAAACAGACUUGAAAGAGGGAAAUGAACAGUAAGAACUAAAGAAAGCUGGUGUAGCAACAGAAGUACUGGCAUCAAACCCAGUGGAAAUGGAUUCUGUUCUCAUCUCCACUUUCAGUUUCUUAAGUAAACCACUGUCCCCCCUGUGCCUCAGUUCCUAAUUUGCAGAAUGAUAAUGGGAAUGUGUCUACUAACAGGAUCAUUACACAAAUUUAAAUUAAAAGAUGAUCUGACAGCACUCAAAAGGCCGUUUUAUUUCUGGUAUCCCGAAGCAGAUAUAUUUAGUAUUCUCAAAAAGCAAUCAGAGAUGAGUUCAAAGAAGCUAUGUUACUCUACCUCGUAGUAGCAAUUCUUUCUUGCCUCCAAAAUUGACUUGCAUAGAAUACUUUGAAAAAUCCCAUAUUCUGACAUUCCUGACAAAAAAAAUAAUCUU